GACGAACGCUGGCGGCGUGCUUAACACAUGCAAGUCGAACGGAAAGGCCCUGCUUUCGUGGUGUGCUGGAGUGGCGAACGGGUGAGUAAGACGUGUGUAACGUGCCCUAGAUUUUCGGAUAACUUCAGGAAACUGGGGCUACUACCGGAUAGGAGCUCCUGCACCGUGGUGGGGGUUGGAUAGUUUCGGCGGUUGGGGUUGGACUCGCGGGUGAUCAGCUUGUUGGUGGGCUAGUGGAUUGCCAAGGCUGUGACGGAUAGCUGGCCUGAGAGGGUGGACGGCGACAAUGGGACUGAGAGACGGCGCAGACGCGUACGGGAGGCAGCGGGGGGGAGUAUUGCACAACGGGCGGGAGCCUGAUGCGGCGACGCCGGGUGCGGGAUGACGGCCUUCGGGUUAUAAACAGCAUUCGCCUGUGACGAAGCGGGAGUGACGGUAAUGGGAGAAGAAGCACCGGCUAACUACGUG
rnacentral:rRNA from 1 species